rnacentral:rRNA from 1 species
UGGGGAAUAUUGCACAAUGGGCGCAAGCCUGAUGCAGCCAUGCCGCGUGUAUGAAGAAGGCCUUCGGGUUGUAAAGUACUUUCAGCGGGGAGGAAGGCGAUAAGGUUAAUAACCUUGUCGAUUGACGUUACCCGCAGAAGAAGCACCGGCUAACUCCGUGCCAGCAGCCGCGGUAAUACGGAGGGUGCAAGCGUUAAUCGGAAUUACUGGGCGUAAAGCGCACGCAGGCGGUCUGUCAAGUCGGAUGUGAAAUCCCCGGGCUCAACCUGGGAACUGCAUUAGAAACUGGCAGGCUAGAGUCUUGUAGAGGGGGGUAGAAUUCCAGGUGUAGCGGUGAAAUGCGUAGAGAUCUGGAGGAAUACCGGUGGCGAAGGCGGCCCCCUGGACAAAGACUGACGCUCAGGUGCGAAAGCGUGGGGAGCAAACA